rnacentral:sRNA from 1 species
GCAACGGCAAAAUCCGUUGCCGGGCGUCAGAACCCGCAAUACCGGAAGGCGCGCAGCGCCACAGGCGCUUUUUUU